GACGAACGCUGGCGGCGUGCUUAACACAUGCAAGUCGAGCGGUAAGGCCUUUCGGGGUACACGAGCGGCGAACGGGUGAGUAACACGUGGGUGAUCUGCCCUGCACUUCGGGAUAAGCCUGGGAAACUGGGUCUAAUACCGGAUAUGACCUCCUAUCGCAUGGUGGGUGGUGGAAAGAUUUAUCGGUGCAGGAUGGGCCCGCGGCCUAUCAGCUUGUUGGUGGGGUAAUGGCCUACCAAGGCGACGACGGGUAGCCGACCUGAGAGGGUGACCGGCCACACUGGGACGGAGACACGGCCCAGCCUCCUCCGGGAGGAAGCAGGGGGGAGUAGUGCAAAAGGGGCGAAAGCCUGAUGCAGCGACGCCGCGUGAGGGAUGACGGCCUUCGGUUUGUAAACCUCUUUCAGCAGGGACGAAGCGAAAGUGACGGUCCCUGCAGAAGAAGCACCGGCUAACUACGUG
rnacentral:rRNA from 1 species